CGCCCUUGAGUUUGAUCAUGGCUCAGAACGAACGCUGGCGGCAGGCUUAACACAUGCAAGUCGAGCGCCCCGCAAGGGGAGCGGCAGACGGGUGAGUAACGCGUGGGAAUUUACCCAGUGGUACGGAACAACCCAGGGAAACUUGGGCUAAUACCGUAUAAGUCCUUCGGGAGAAAGAUUUAUCGCCAUUGGAUGAGCCCGCGUCGGAUUAGCUAGUUGGUGGGGUAACGGCCUACCAAGGCGACGAUCCGUAGCUGGUCUGAGAGGAUGAUCAGCCACACUGGGACUGAGACACGGCCCAGACUCCUACGGGAGGCAGCAGUGGGGAAUAUUGGACAAUGGGCGCAAGCCUGAUCCAGCCAUGCCGCGUGAGUGAUGAAGGCCUUAGGGUUGUAAAGUUUUUUUGGCGGGGAAGAUAAUGACGGUACCCGCAGAAGAAGCCCCGGCUAACUUCGUGCCAGCAGCCGCGGUC
rnacentral:rRNA from 2 species